rnacentral:lncRNA from 1 species
GACAUUGGUGUGCUGCCUGAUGUGAGUGCUGUGGAAGGCUGCGAACAGAAGGAAAUGCAUGGACAAUGCCCAGGGAAUGCAGGUGUGGAAGUUGUGAUGGGUGAUAGUCAAGCUUCUCCAGCUGGAAAGAAAAGACUGGCUUGUCACUACACUCCACUCUCUUUUACAAUCAACAGAAGAGCACCAGAAAUCCCAUCCACAUGUCUUCAAAGUUCUCAAGGAGCACUGGAUUUGGAAUGA